rnacentral:rRNA from 1 species
GACGAACGCUGGCGGCGUGCUUAACACAUGCAAGUCGAACGGAAAGGCCCAGCUUGCUGGGUACUCGAGUGGCGAACGGGUGAGUAACACGUGGGUGAUCUGCCCUGAACUUCGGGAUAAGCCUGGGAAACUGGGUCUAAUACCGGAUAUGCCCAUUGGUUGCAUGACUUUUGGUGGAAAGCUUUUGCGGUCCAGGAUGGGCCCGCGGCCUAUCAGCUUGUUGGUGAGGUAACGGCUCACCAAGGCGACGACGGGUAGCCGACCUGAGAGGGUGAUCGGCCACACUGGGACUGAGACACGGCCCAGACUCCUACGGGAGGCAGCAGUGGGGAAUAUUGCACAAUGGGCGCAAGCCUGAUGCAGCGACGCCGCGUGGGGGAUGACGGCCUUCGGGUUGUAAACCUCUUUCGGCAGGGACGAAGCGCAAGUGACGGUACCUGCAGAAGAAGCACCGGCCAACUACGUGCCAGCAGCCGCCGUAAAAC